rnacentral:rRNA from 1 species
UACAGAGGAUGCAAGCGUUAUCCGGAAUGAUUGGGCGUAAAGCGUCUGUAGGUGGCUUUUUAAGUCCGCCGUCAAAUCCCAGGGCUCAACUCUGGACAGGCGGUGGAAACUACCAAGCUGGAGUACGGUAGGGGCAGAGGGAAUUUCCGGUGGAGCGGUGAAAUGCGCAGAUAUCAGGAAGAACACCCGUGGCUAAGGCGGUUCUCUAGUACGGUACUGACGCUGAGACGCGAAAGCGUGGGGAGCGAACAGG